rnacentral:rRNA from 1 species
GGGUUGUGAGGUUAAGCGACUAAGCGUACACGGUGGAUGCCCUGGCAGUCAGAGGCGAUGAAGGGCGUGCUAAUCUGCGAUAAGCGCCGGUAAGGUGAUAUGAACCGUUAUAACCGGCGAUACCCGAAUGGGGAAACCCAGUGUGAUUCGUCACACUAUCAUUAACUGAAUCCAUAGGUUAAUGAGGCGAACCGGGGGAACUGAAACAUCUAAGUACCCCGAGGAAAAGAAAUCAACCGAGAUUCCCCCAGUAGCGGCGAGCGAACGGGGAGGAGCCCAGAGCCUGAAUCAGCAUGUGUGUUAGUGGAAGCGUCUGGAAAGGCGCGCGAUACAGGGUGACAGCCCCGUACACAAAAGCGCAUGUGCUGUGAGCUCGAUGAGUAGGGCGGGACACGUGGUAUCCUGUCUGAAUAUGGGGGGACCAUCCUCCAAGGCUAAAUACUCCUGACUGACCGAUAGUGAACCAGUACCGUGAGGGAAAGGCGAAAAGAACCCCGGCGAGGGGAGUGAAAAAGAACCUGAAACCGUGUACGUACAAGCAGUGGGAGCACCCUUCGGGGUGUGACUGCGUACCUUUUGUAUAAUGGGUCAGCGACUUAUAUUCUGUAGCAAGGUUAACCGAAUAGGGGAGCCGGAGGGAAACCGAGUCUUAAUUGGGCGUUAAGUUGCAGGGUAUAGACCCGAAACCCGGUGAUCUAGCCAUGGGCAGGUUGAAGGUUGGGUAACACUAACUGGAGGACCGAACCGACUAAUGUUGAAAAAUUAGCGGAUGACCUGUGGCUGGGGGUGAAAGGCCAAUCAAACCGGGAGAUAGCUGGUUCUCCCCGAAAGCUAUUUAGGUAGCGCCUCGUGAAUUCAUCUCCGGGGGUAGAGCACUGUUUCGGCUAGGGGGCCAUCCCGGCUUACCAACCCGAUGCAAACUGCGAAUACCGGAGAAUGUUAUCACGGGAGACACACGGCGGGUGCUAACGUCCGUCGUGAAGAGGGAAACAACCCAGACCGCCAGCUAAGGUCCCAAAGUCAUGGUUAAGUGGGAAACGAUGUGGGAAGGCCCAGACAGCCAGGAUGUUGGCUUAGAAGCAGCCAUCAUUUAAAGAAAGCGUAAUAGCUCACUGGUCGAGUCGGCCUGCGCGGAAGAUGUAACGGGGCUAAACCAUGCACCGAAGCUGCGGCAGCGAACGUAUCACCCAAGACAACUUUACGGAGUUGACGAUUGACGGAGCGAAGCGACGUCAAAGCGUUCAUUAAAGUCGAGUUGGCUUAGGGAUACGUUCGUUGGGUAGGGGAGCGUUCUGUAAGCCUGUGAAGGUGGCCUGUGAGGGUUGCUGGAGGUAUCAGAAGUGCGAAUGCUGACAUAAGUAACGAUAAAGCGGGUGAAAAGCCCGCUCGCCGGAAGACCAAGGGUUCCUGUCCAACGUUAAUCGGGGCAGGGUGAGUCGACCCCUAAGGCGAGGCCGAAAGGCGUAGUCGAUGGGAAACGGGUUAAUAUUCCCGUACUUGGUGUUACUGCGAAGGGGGGACGGAGAAGGCUAUGUUGGCCGGGCGACGGUUGUCCCGGUUUAAGCGUGUAGGCUGGUUUUCCAGGCAAAUCCGGAAAAUCAAGGCUGAGGCGUGACGACGAGGCACUACGGUGCUGAAGCAACAAAUGCCCUGCUUCCAGGAAAAGCCUCUAAGCAUCAGGUAACAUCAAAUCGUACCCCAAACCGACACAGGUGGUCAGGUAGAGAAUACCAAGGCGCUUGAGAGAACUCGGGUGAAGGAACUAGGCAAAAUGGUGCCGUAACUUCGGGAGAAGGCACGCUGACACGUAGGUGAAGUGAUUUACUCAUGGAGCUGAAGUCAGUCGAAGAUACCAGCUGGCUGCAACUGUUUAUUAAAAACACAGCACUGUGCAAACACGAAAGUGGACGUAUACGGUGUGACGCCUGCCCGGUGCCGGAAGGUUAAUUGAUGGGGUCAGCGCAAGCGAAGCUCCUGAUCGAAGCCCCGGUAAACGGCGGCCGUAACUAUAACGGUCCUAAGGUAGCGAAAUUCCUUGUCGGGUAAGUUCCGACCUGCACGAAUGGCGUAAUGAUGGCCAGGCUGUCUCCACCCGAGACUCAGUGAAAUUGAACUCGCUGUGAAGAUGCAGUGUACCCGCGGCAAGACGGAAAGACCCCGUGAACCUUUACUAUAGCUUGACACUGAACAUUGAGCCUUGAUGUGUAGGAUAGGUGGGAGGCUUUGAAGUGUGGACGCCAGUCUGCAUGGAGCCGACCUUGAAAUACCACCCUUUAAUGUUUGAUGUUCUAACGUGGACCCGUAAUCCGGGUUGCGGACAGUGUCUGGUGGGUAGUUUGACUGGGGCGGUCUCCUCCUAAAGAGUAACGGAGGAGCACGAAGGUUGGCUAAUCCUGGUCGGACAUCAGGAGGUUAGUGCAAUGGCAUAAGCCAGCUUGACUGCGAGCGUGACGGCGCGAGCAGGUGCGAAAGCAGGUCAUAGUGAUCCGGUGGUUCUGAAUGGAAGGGCCAUCGCUCAACGGAUAAAAGGUACUCCGGGGAUAACAGGCUGAUACCGCCCAAGAGUUCAUAUCGACGGCGGUGUUUGGCACCUCGAUGUCGGCUCAUCACAUCCUGGGGCUGAAGUAGGUCCCAAGGGUAUGGCUGUUCGCCAUUUAAAGUGGUACGCGAGCUGGGUUUAGAACGUCGUGAGACAGUUCGGUCCCUAUCUGCCGUGGGCGCUGGAGAACUGAGGGGGGCUGCUCCUAGUACGAGAGGACCGGAGUGGACGCAUCACUGGUGUUCGGGUUGUCAUGCCAAUGGCACUGCCCGGUAGCUAAAUGCGGAAGAGAUAAGUGCUGAAAGCAUCUAAGCACGAAACUUGCCCCGAGAUGAGUUCUCCCUGAGACUUAGAGUCUCCUGAAGGAACGUUGAAGACGACGACGUUGAUAGGCCGGGUGUGUAAGCGCAGCGAUGCGUUGAGCUAACCGGUACUAAUGAACCGUGAGGCUUAACCUUACAACGCCGAAG